UACGUAGGUGGCGAGCGUUGUCCGGAUUUACUGGGCGUAAAGAGCGCGCAGGCGGUCGUGCAAGUCGCGUGUGAAAGCCCCCCGGCUCAAACUGGGGGAGGGUCACGCGAUACUGCUCGACUUGAAGGCAGGAGAGGGAAGUGGAAUUCCCGGUGUAGUGGUGAAAUGCGUAGAUAUCGGGGAGGAACACCAGUGGCGAAGGCGACUUCCUGGCCUGUUCUUGACGCUGAGGCGCGAAAAGCUAGGGGUAGCAAACGGG
rnacentral:rRNA from 1 species